ensembl:snoRNA SNORD62 Small nucleolar RNA SNORD62
UCUCUGUGAUGUUUCCAAUGGAUCCUACUGAGCCCCAGAUUGUGCAAUCAGUCAAAGGGGGUUUGAAGAGAUUCUAUGCCUGAGAGA